rnacentral:rRNA from 1 species
GUGCCUAACACAUGCAAGUCGAACGAGAAAGCGGGGGCAACUCCGUGAGUAAAGUGGCGUACGGGUGAGUAACACGUAGCUAACCUACCCUCGAGUGAGGAAUAACCUGGGGAAACUCGGGCUAAUACCCCAUAACAUCCCGAGCAAUCGGGAGCAAAGGUCCGCAAGGGCCGCUUGAGGAGGGGGCUGCGGCCGAUUAGCUAGUUGGUGAGGUAACGGCCCACCAAGGCGAUGAUCGGUAGCCGGCCUGAGAGGGCGCACGGCCACACUGGCACUUAAACACGGGCCAG